AACGUAGGAGGCAAGCGUUAUCCGGAUUUACUGGGCGUAAAGCGCGUGCAGGCGGUUUCCUCAGUCGUGCGUGAAAGCUCCCUGGCUUAACCGGGAGAGGUCGUGCGAUACUGGGAAACUGGAGACAGAGAGAGGCAAGUAGAAUUCCGGGUGUAGUGGUGAAAUGCGUAGAUAUCCGGAGGAAUACCAGUGGCGAAGGCGGCUUGCUAGCUCUGUUCUGACGCUCAGACGCGAAAGCAUGGGGAGCGAA
rnacentral:rRNA from 1 species